GUUGUGAAGCACUUUUUGAAUGGGAAUAUCUGCUCCCUCUUAUAUCUCACCCACCAGAAAAUCUCGUGGGACUUCAAAAUGUUGGUACUUUUUAUCACAUGAAUUCUGUGAUCCAGCAGCCAUAUAUAUAUGUGUGUGUGUGUGUGUUUGUGUGUGUAUAUAUAUUCCAAUGGAGACAGUAUUCUUGCAAUUGAAUGCAUAGGUAAAAAUACAGACAAUGAUUUUAUGAAGAUGAGAAGCAGAACAGUGAGUUUAAUGUUGAUCCCCAAGAUAAUUUACUAGAAUAUUUUUAUUAAUUUGAAGACAAAUCAGAGUUAAGUAAGACAGGAGGUAGAAAAGAGUACAAUAUUAGUGUCCUAAGGCACCUUCAAGACAUCUUUGUUCAUUUAGCUAUUUUCAAACUACAGUCCUAUAUACCCAAAGAAUUUUGGUAACAAGUUAAA
rnacentral:lncRNA from 1 species